rnacentral:rRNA from 1 species
UACACGGAGAGUUUGAUUCUGGCUCAGAAUGAACGCUGGCGGCGUGCUUAACACAUGCAAGUCGAACGGGGCCAAUUCUGACGGGGUGGCAACACUCAAUUGGUUUUGGCUUAGUGGCGCACGGGUGAGUAACGCGUGGGUAACCAACCCUUAGGUUUGGAAUAACGUCUCGAAAGAGACGCUAAUACCAAAUAAGACCACGCCAACUACGGUUGAUGGGGUAAAAGAUGGCGCUUUUCGGAAGCUGUCGCCUUAGGACGGGCCCGCGUGACAUUAGAUUGAUGGUGGGGUAACGGCCUACCAUUUUGUCGACGAUGUCUAGCUGGUCUGAGAGGAUGAUCAGCCACACUGGGACUGGAACACGGCCCAGACUCCUACGGGAGGCAGCAGUGAGGAAUUUUUCGCAAUGGGGGAAACCCUGACGGAGCAACGCCGCGUGAGUGAAGAAGGCCUUUUGGUUGUAAAGCUCUGUCGGAGGGCAAGAAACGCGAUGGUAAUAAUACGAUCGUCGCUUGACUUAACCCUUAAAGGAAGCCCCGGCUAACUCCGUGCCAGCAGCCGCGGUAAUACGGAGGGGGCGAGCGUUAUUCGGAAUCAUUGGGUGUAAAGCGCAUGUAGGCGGUAAGGUGUGUCAGGUGUGAAAGCCCGGGGCUUAACUCCGGAAGUGCAUUUGAAACUGCCUUACUUGAGUCUCGGAGAGGAAAGUGGAAUUCCCAGUGUAAAGGUGGAAUUUGUAGAUAUUGGGAGGAACACCGGUGGCGAAAGCGACUUUCUGGACGAAGACUGACGCUCAGAUGCGAAAGCGUGGGUAGCAAACAGGAUUAGAUACCCUGGUAGUCCACGCCGUAAACGAUGGGUACUAG